UCUCCGUAGGUGAACCUGCGGAGGGAUCAUUACAGAGUUCAUGCCCUACCGGGUAGAUCUCCCACCCUAUGUUAUUAUUACUUUGUUGCUUUGGCGGGCCGUUAGGCUCCGGCCCGACUACCGGCCCCGGCUGGUAAGCGCCCGCCAGAGGACCCAAAACCCUGAAUAUUAGUGUCGUCUGAGUACUACAUAAUAGUUAAAACUUUCAACAACGGAUCUCUUGGUUCUG
rnacentral:misc_RNA from 1 species